UAUCGCGCAUUAUCGGUGAAGGUUUAAUAGCCUUGAGAGAACAACGCAAGGCAAAAACGACACAAAUUGAUUUUUGAGUUUUAAACUUCCGAAAGCACUAUAAUACCUCAAAAAACGUAGCUUAAUGCAGCUGGUAACUACGUGCGAUAAUUUAACUGUCUACAAAGACUCGAGUCUAGACUGGCGUCAGAAACGAGUCAUAAGUGCGAUUACACUCGAAAGUUCGCAAUUCUAAAGCCGUAAACCAAGCCUUCGACGUUAGGUAUGGAUAGAAAAUCAAUUUCCAGUUAGUCCUGCACGACUAAAACCUAAAACCCUUCGACAGACGUAGGUAACUCUUCAAUUCGCCAUUUCAUCACUGGCAGGUCAUAAAACACACGCAAUUAUACUAGUAGUGUCAUAGUCAUUCAGACACUUCCACAUCACGGAAUGCAUACUGUAAGCUUUUAAUUAAAUUAGAAACCUCUAUAAGGUUGACACGUCGAUAUUAUUCCGCUCGCCAUUUCGCAGUGCGAAGAAUGCGAUGUCAAUGAACCACGACGAUGUAAAGACAAAUGAAUAUUAACUAUUAGGCAUGUAAUAACAGUCGUAUGUAUUGAAAGUUGUAAGUAGUCGUAAUCAUUAAAGAGUAUACACGCGAAAAUUCAAUUACUAGGUAAUUUUACUUGUUAGAAAUUGUGGAAGAAGUUGCGCAGAAGUUUCUGGUUCCGAAAUUUAUGCCGUAAUGUCAUAAAGUCGUGACCGCGACAUCACAAUUGUUAAACUUGUUGUAUUAUAAAGAUAUAGUAAUGAUAUUAGCAUAUGUUUAAUUAAUAAUCAUUAGUAUAAUAGGAAUUGCAAUGCUGUAAUACUUAAAAGUUGAAGUAUUCAAUUUAAAAUGUUGCGUUUAAUUUUAAAUUUAAAAAUGUAUUAUCUGAGCCUUAAAUUAAGAAAUUCUAUUGAAAAUAUUAACAAAAAUGUUAUUUUGAUUAAAUUGCAUAUUUUUGUACUAUUACAUAAUUAAAUAUUAAAUCAUUUAUUGAAAUUUGUUAAGAAAACAUGAAUUGUAAAAUUAUGAUGGUCGAAAUUUGGCCUCAUUUUAUACUUAUGUAAAUAUUUAUGUUUUGUAUUGACAAUAAUUGAAUGCUAAAAUAUUUUACACAACA